rnacentral:lncRNA from 1 species
GUACAGAACACGCAGUAACAAGUUGCCACUGUUAAGCAGCGGACAAAUCCACAUGCGUUUUUCGAGAAGCCGGGGAUUCGGUAGCUCGGCUUUUUCAACGAACCCCUCCGACGAUGGUGGUCACGAGUCGGCAGUUUAGAGUUUGCCUGUGGUUUCUAAAACUUGUUCUCGUAUCCUAGUGGCAUUGUUCUUCAGUAGGCCUUCUUUCAGCUGGUGACAGAUUUCUUACCUUACCAGCAGGUCACACUUUUCUGGAAGAAUUCCGUGUUAAUAGACACGUGUAUCGACACCGGGAUCCGAAUUUCCUCGGGACCGACGGGACACGGUGAACAGGGAACUUGUUUACCCAGGAGGAGGAAGUCAGUGCAAAAUAAUAUACAAAAGUAUCUUCUGUGUUACCGCUUCGUACACACACCAAUGACAAGUUUCGACCUCGAGAGGCGUGUGUGCAUGUAGGCACGUCCAACGACAGAUUGUCGUUUGAAUGCAAUAGCUGCAGAGGGAAAACGCGCCCUCGUUUCUCUGUUUGUCACAGUGCUAGCCACCACACGACGGGUUCCUGAAUAUUUCACGCUCUGAUGAAGCGUCUUGAGGUGGCGCAGCUUCCGGAGCAGCAGAAUGGUGCGCGGAUGCGGGGAUCAGGAAUAAAGUGAAACACGGGAAGGAGUUUAUUUAGAAGGCACGACAAGGGGGGAUGUUCUGCUUUCGGAUAACCUACCACCCGAAAAUGUCCCCAGAAGGCGGAAGAGACUCGAAUGAAACAGACAGCAAGCACUGGCCGUUCGUGUAUGCCGAGGCACGCUGGACUUUCACAGGAAGCAAAGAGAACAUUGGAACUGCCUUUGGUCGGGCUUGACGAGAAAGUGACCGACUUUUUAAACCAAGUGUUCUCGCAUGCACGUGUUUGCGAAGACGAAGCAGUGGAUGUCGGCAUUUGGAAAGAAAAUGCUGAGACUUUGCGGUCGUACGGGAAAAACGGGCAAACGACUCGGAAAAACAACAGUCUCAGCACAGACGAGUCCACGUCCAGUUCGCGGUCAUUUUCGAGCUGAAGUCGAUAUCGCGGCACUUGUUGGUUGUUCGAUGGAUGAAGCAAAGUGAUAUUGUUCAGCAGAAGGCGGAACUGCUACCUUAUUGUCGAAAUUGCCUAGCGAAGUUGCUGCAAAGUGGUGUUCACAGUCGGACAUCUUUCAGUUCUCAGCUGUAGCCUGGAUGGAAAUAUUUUCCGUGUGACACGAUUUUCUGUUUCACUGAUCUUGGCGGCAACAAAAAUGGCCACGCCUUAUCGAACGAUGCAACUCAGAUCAGACCAGAGUGCGCUCGAGAACAAGCUAAGAACCAGAGGGGAAACUUGGGCGGCGGUUGAGGUCACGGAAUUAUCAAAAACUUCCUUGGGUAGCCGGUUUCGCCUCUUCAAAGAUCCGUAGUGAUGAACGGGAUGUGUGAUGAGCCGUGUGCUGUGCUGAUGUCAACAGAUAAUCAGCCGCAACCUCUGUGAUCUUUUGACUUGUGUUUACCUUAUCAACGAGGGGAAUUACUCAGAACCAUUUCCCGUUCGAGUAAAACUUGCUCGAAAACAAAAAAUGGUCUUCGGGAACUUCGUGUCUAUGUUGGUGAUGUAAAUCCGUUCCUGAACCUUACGUUUUUUCCCAUUGGCGUCGAACCGUUGCAGUAGCUGAAUCCUCGGUAGCGUUCUGUGCCACAGUUGCAGAAUCUGUACAGAUCGUUGUCGAAGAAUCGGACCUCCUGUUACCCUUCGCGGUUGGCAAGAAAGAGCAUCUGUCUUUCUAGAAAAACUAG